GCUUAUCAAUAUUCCAGAUUGAAUAUACCCGAUCUCGUCUGAUCUCGGAAGUCAAGCAAUCUCGGGCUUGGUUAGUACUUGGAUGGGUGACCGCUUGGGAAUACCAAGUGUGAUAAGCA
rfam:Ciona savignyi cont_38429, whole genome shotgun sequence.